GACAGAGGGGGCAAGCGUUGCUCGGUAUCACUGGGCGUAAAGGGCGCGUAGGCGGGAUGGCAAGUCGGUCGUGAAAUCCUUCGGCUCAACCGAAGAACGUCGGCCGAUACUGCCGUUCUUGAGGGAUGCAGAGGAGAUUGGAAUUCCCGGUGUAGCGGUGAAAUGUGUAGAGAUCGGGAGGAACACCGGUGGCGAAGGCGGGUCUCUGGGCAUCUCCUGACGCUGAGGCGCGAAAGCGUGGGGAGCAAACGGG
rnacentral:rRNA from 1 species